UGUUCUGUUCUACUCUGUUCAGAAUUAAAAGAAAGUAAACCAAAAGAACCCAACCCCCAAAAUAAUAUUUGCCUACCAUGGUUACUGACUGUGACUUAAGUUUCUUCUUCAUUUCUUUUCCCUUCUGCCUUUUUUUUUUUUUUUUUUUGCAGAUUGGCAAAUCACUACCCUGGUGUUAAUCCUGACAGCUGCCACCAUCACUCUGCUGGCCUUCCUCAUGUCUCUGAUAGCCUUCUGCCUGGGGAACUAUAAAUACUAUUAUCGGAUCGUGUCGAUUCUUCUCUUUGCAGCAGUGGUUCUCCAGAUCUGCGCUUUAAUUCUCUACCCCAUCAAGUUCAUUGACAGCAGCCCGUUGAGAAGCUACCAUGAGUUCAACUGGGGAUAUGGUUUGGGUUGGGGUUCGGCCAUCUUUAUGCUGGGAGCAGCCAUCCUUUACUGCCUACGGACUGAUGCAUAUGAAGAUGCUUACUAUUAGGACCACGUGUGAGAAGGUCCCUGGAUUAUCAGAUCUGGAAGGCCUCUUCAGCAAGCAGAGAGCAACAGAAGAGGAAGGGCGAUGGGGUCCAUGGGAAUCCUUGGCCCAUUCAAGCAGAUUACGGAUGGACAUUUUCACCGGCCUCUUGCCAUGAGGUGAAGAGUUUGAA